rnacentral:lncRNA from 1 species
GCUGGUUGCCCCCACCCAAGCCAUAGGCUGAAUCCUGACCCCAAAGGUGUCAGGAAGGGCCCUGGGGGGAUCAGGCAUGCGGUGGGGCUGCAUGAGUGGGAUUUGUACCCUUGUCACAGAGGCCGGGAGCCUGGUCACCUGGCUCCCCGAGCAGGGCUGAGUGCAGAAGGCCUCUCCGUGAGCAGAAAGGGCCGGACACGGAAUCUGCCGGCUCCUGGUCCGCUGGCCCCAGCCUCCGGGACGGUGAGGGGUGCAUUUAUGUUGUGCCUAAGCCACUUGGCCCACGGCAUUUGGCUCUAGCAGCUGCACAGGGGGCACGACCUCCCUCUAAACCUGCCGCUCCUGAGCGUCAGUCAAAGGCAGGGUAUCCUUCCAGGACUCAGGACCUAUCCGGGGUCACCUUUGUCCCCUCACUUUCAGCAGUCCAUCAGGACAGUUGGCCCCAUCUCUGGAACACGCUGAGUCCGCCCCCUGCGGUCCUCCAUGUCCCCACUGGGUCCCAGCUCUCUCUCUCCCGGCCUCUCACCUCCUGCCCGCCAGGCCUGCAACCCCUCCCGCCUCCUCUGCUCACCAGCGCACCCUAGAUAUGUCCCCCACCCUGGAGCAGACCCCAUGCGUCCCCUACAGAGCCCUCUGUUGGCUUCUCAUCUCAGGCUCGGUGAAAGGGCAGGAAGAGAGCAGGACCUACUGCUCUAGAAAACGGGCACCUCUCUCCGCGACUCCGUUUCCUCUCAUCUGUUUCUGCUUUAAGUCACUAGAUGUGGCUAUUUUAAGGGGGGGGGGUCAGCCUUCCAGGGGUCCUCCCAGACCUCCUGCACAUCUCCUAACUCCGACUCACCAUCGGGCCAGGG